rnacentral:rRNA from 1 species
GACGAACGCUGGCGGCGUGCUUAACACAUGCAAGUCGAACGGAAAGGCCCUGCUUUUGUGGGAUGCUCGAGUGGCGAAAGGGUGAGUAACACGUGAGUAACCUGCCCUUGACUUUGGGAUAACUUCAGGAAACUGGGGCUAAUACCGGAUAGGAGCUCCUGCUGCAUGGUGGGGGUUGGAAAGAUUCGGCGGUUGGGGAUGGACGCGCGGCUUAUCAGCUUGUUGGUGGGGUAGUGGCUUACCAAGGCUUUGACGGGUAGCCGGCCUGAGAGGGUGACCGGCCACAUUGGGACUGAGAUACGGCCCAGACUCCUACGGGAGGCAGAAGUGGGGAAUAUUGCACAAUGGGCGGAAGCCGGAUGCAGCAACGCCGCGUGCGGGAUGACGGCCUUCGGGUUGUAAAGCGCCUUCGCCUGUGACGAAGCGUGAGUGACGGUAAUGGGUAAAGAAGCACCGGCUAACUACGUG